AGAGUUUGAUCAUGGCUCAGGACGAACGCUGGCGGCGUGCUUAACACAUGCAAGUCGAGCGGAAAGGCCCUUCGGGGUACUCGAGCGGCGAACGGGUGAGUAACACGUGAGUAACCUGCCCUUGGCUCUGGGAUAAGCCCGGGAAACUGGGUCUAAUACCGGAUAUGACCACCUUCUGCAUGGGGGGUGGUGGAAAGUUUUUCGGCUGGGGAUGGACUCGCGGUCUAUCAGCUUGUUGGUGGGGUGAUGGCCUACCAAGGCGACGACGGAUAGCCGGCCUGAGAGGGUGACCGGCCACACUGGGACUGAGACACGGCCCAGACUCCUACGGGAGGCAGCAGUGGGGAAUAUUGCGCAAUGGGCGGAAGCCUGACGCAGCGACGCCGCGUGGGGGAUGAAGGCCUUCGGGUUGUAAACCUCUUUCACCACCGACGAAGCUAACGUGACGGUAGGUGGGGAAGAAGCGCCGGCUAACUACGUGCCAGCAGCCGCGGUAAUACGUAGGGCGCAAGCGUUGUCCGGAAUUAUUGGGCGUAAAGAGCUCGUAGGCGGUUUGUCGCGUCUGCCGUGAAAACCCGAGGCUUAACCUCGUGGCUUGCGGUGGAUACGGGCAGACUAGAGGUAGGUAGGGGAGAAUGGAAUUCCCGGUGUAGCGGUGAAAUGCGCAGAUAUCGGGAGGAACACCGGUGGCGAAGGCGGUUCUCUGGGCCUUACCUGACGCUGAGGAGCGAAAGCGUGGGGAGCGAACAGGAUUAGAUACCCUGGUAGUCCACGCCGUAAACGUUGGGCGCUAGGUGUGGGGUCUUUCCACGGAUUCCGUGCCGUAGCUAACGCAUUAAGCGCCCCGCCUGGGGAGUACGGCCGCAAGGCUAAAACUCAGAGGAAUUGACGGGGCCCGCACAAGCGGCGGAGCAUGUUGCUUAAUUCGACGCAACGCGAAGAACCUUACCAAGGUUCGACAUCAUCGGAAAACUCGCAAAGAUGC
rnacentral:rRNA from 1 species